rnacentral:rRNA from 1 species
CCUACGGGAGGCAGCAGUGGGGGAUAUUGGACAAUGGGGGGAACCCUGAUCCAGCGACGCCGCGUGAGUGAAGAAGUAUUUCGGUAUGUAAAGCUCUGUCAGCAGGGAAGAAAGAAAUGACGGUACCUGACCAAGAAGCCCCGGCUAACUACGUGCCAGCAGCCGCGGUAAUACGUAGGGGGCAAGCGUUAUCCGGAAUUACUGGGUGGAAAGGGAGCGGAGACGGCAGCACAAGUCUGGAGUGAAAGGCCGGGGCUUAACCCCGGAACUGCGUUGGAAACUGUGCAGCUAGAGGGCAGGAGAGGUAAGUGGAAUUCCUAGUGUAGCGGUGAAAUGCGUAGAUAUUAGGAGGAACACCAGUGGCGAAGGCGGCUUACUGGACUGUAACUGACGUUGAGGCUCGAAAGCGUGGGGAGCAAACAGGAUUAGAUACCCGGGUAGUC